rnacentral:snRNA from 1 species
GUGCUCGCUUCUGCAGCACAUAUAUUAAAAUUGGAAUGGUACAGAGAAGAUUAGCAUGGUUCCUGCACAAGGAUGACAUGCAAAUUCGUGAAGUGUUCUAUUAAAAA